UCCCUGGUAGUAUAUCGGCUAGUACACGCGCCUGUCACCACACUUCUAUGACAGCGUACGCGCGAAAGCUGGGUUCGACUCCCAGCCAGGGAG